AAAGAGGGAGAGAUGGCGUCUGAAUAGGCAGUGACAUAAGGAAUGGUUGGUUUCCUUUCACACACUCACUGUGGACGCUCGUGUGUUACUGUCAGUGCUGCUCCUCAGCCUCCGAGCAGAUAUUUUCUCUGAACAUGGCAACCUUCCUCAGAGGAAGCUGAAGGAACAUCAAAGGCUUUUACAGUUCUUUGACGGCAGGGCCAACAUUCACUAAGAACAUCAUGAGAUGCCUGAUCCUGAUCCUUCCUCAUGUGGGAGCUCAACUGAUAUCAUUCAGCCAUGGCUCAGGGUUUGGUCUAACAUGUAUGGCGAUGGUGUGAAGGAUGCCCCACCGAGGAUGACACACAGACAGCUCACAUCCUUUCAAAAGGGUUGAACUUUGACAAAUCCUGGCAGUGGAACUGAUCCCAGCCGCAGAAACAACAACGCUGCAGCUGUAGAAGCAGAGCAGCAAUGCAAAGCCCCCAGCAUCCAACAUGGAGGAGAGGAAGCACUCACAUCACUUAGUAAUGACAACAACAUCAUCAUCCUUCCAGCAGACAAGAGUAGGUGCACAGUUCUGCUAAACCAGAAAGACUAACAUGAGAAAAUUUACUUAUGAGCCCCUGAAAUGAGACCCAGGAAGCAUACGGAUCAGUAUUUAGGUCUGACCCUCAUCACUGAAUGCAGCACAACCUGGGUGUCAACACAGAGCGAACACCAUCCCCACAGAGACAGCAGCAGAGAGGAACAUCAAAUCAACAAGGCCCUGAGUAAAUGUGGACAUCUGUCAAAGCUGGAGGCAGGGCUGCAACAAUUCGUCAUCAUCGAUGAUGCUGACUAUAAAAACUUGUCGAUGUGUCAUACGUGUGUUUUUGUAACUGCAAUACACUACA